UACAGAGGGUGCAAGCGUUGUUCGGAAUUACUGGGCGUAAAGGGCGCGUAGGCGGCCUUCUAAGUCAGACGUGAAAUCCCCCGGCUUAACCUGGGAACUGCGUCUGAUACUGGAAGGCUUGAGUGCGGGAGAGGGAUGUGGAAUUCCAGGUGUAGCGGUGAAAUGCGUAGAUAUCUGGAGGAACACCGGUGGCGAAGGCGGCAUCCUGGACCGACACUGACGCUGAGGCGCGAAAGCUAGGGUAGCAAACGGG
rnacentral:rRNA from 1 species